rnacentral:tRNA from 1 species
GCGGUGGUGGCGGUGCUGGCGGUGUCCGCGGUGCCGGUGGUGCCGCGGCCGUGUCGGUCCGGGUCCGACCUGCCGCACC